AACAAGAAAGGCUUUUUCUAAAGCUGGUGCAGCCGUUGACUACCCGAAACCAAUCGUGGUAUUUGGGAGAGCUUUUUUUUUUUUUAAAGGCGAGAGGUGGGGGAGGGGUAGGAGGGAGAAGAUUCAGGGUGGUGAAAAAGCGUUUUUCCCGGAAGAGAUCCGGAGAUAGCAAAGCUUCCGCCACUCGUAGAGAGGGUAAUGGGAAACUACCAUUCCUGGGUGGAAGGAAAGUCUGAGUAGCCUCCGGGAGCGGUAGUCACCGCCUCACAGUCCUUUAACUGUGUACCAGCCCCCCACCCUCCUCGGUGGCAGCUCGGGCUCUCUCACUUCUUCCCUUCCCCCUCCGCCCCCUUCCGGCCUUAAGCAAAGGGCGAACCCGGCUGGGGUUUCACUCGAUGCCCACUAGGGGCUGAUGGGGUUUAGGAGUCUUAAGUGCGCAAGCUCCGGACACCGGAUAAAAGCGGAGCAGGCUGGGUCUCGAGCUGUCUUGAUGGAGGAGAAAGAAAAGGAAGAGACCAGGGGGUAGAAAGACUCUGCAAGAAUAAUACGGCCACCGUCAACGCUGCCACCGUGUUUCGGGCAGCGGGCGGGGCCGGAGCUGUCCGGGGAGGCUGGUGCAGAGGGAGAAAGGGAGAAGUGGUGAUGGCGACGGUUGCUGCGGCGGUCGCUGUGAGAUCUAAACAGUGGCGAUGGGGACCUCAAGCCUCUUCCUUGACCGGUUCCUCCUGGCCCCGCGCGAGGCCCAGCUCAAUGAACAUAUGCAUCAAAGUGGAUUGAGCAGAACCAGGAGAACAUUAUACAAAGUAACAACAAAAAUGAUCAACUAUGAUUGAUUAAGCUGUUCUCAGCAAUACAAUGAUCCAAG
rnacentral:lncRNA from 1 species